AUUGAACGCUGGCGGCAGGCCUAACACAUGCAAGUCGAGCGGAUGAAGGGAGCUUGCUCCUGGAUUCAGCGGCGGACGGGUGAGUAAUGCCUAGGAAUCUGCCUGGUAGUGGGGGAUAACGUCCGGAAACGGGCGCUAAUACCGCAUACGUCCUGAGGGAGAAAGUGGGGGAUCUUCGGACCUCACGCUAUCAGAUGAGCCUAGGUCGGAUUAGCUAGUUGGUGGGGUAAAGGCCUACCAAGGCGACGAUCCGUAACUGGUCUGAGAGGAUGAUCAGUCACACUGGAACUGAGACACGGUCCAGACUCCUACGGGAGGCAGCAGUGGGGAAUAUUGGGCAAUGGGCGAAAGCCUGAUCCAGCAAUGCCGCGUGUGUGAAGAAGGUCUUCGGAUUGUAAAGCACUUUAAGUUGGGAGGAAGGGCAGUAAGUUAAUACCUUGCUGUUUUGACGUUACCAACAGAAUAAGCACCGGCUAACUUCGUG
rnacentral:rRNA from 1 species